UACGUAGGGGGCAAGCGUUGUUCGGAAUUACUGGGCGUAAAGGGCGCGUAGGCGGCACGACAAGUCGGGAGUGAAAGCCCGGGGCUCAACCCCGGAAUGUCUCUCGAAACUGUCGAGCUAGAGUGCAGAAGAGGCAACUGGAAUUCCCAGUGUAGCGGUGAAAUGCGUAGAUAUUGGGAAGAACACCUGAGGCGAAGGCGGGUUGCUGGGCGUGACACUGACGCUGAGGCGCGAAAGCCAGGGGAGCGAACGGG
rnacentral:rRNA from 1 species